ensembl:lncRNA
GUGGAGACUAACUAUGAAAUGCUUACUGACAGAGACUUACCAACAAAGCGGCCGCGUAGCCUAGUGGUUAGAGUGUAGGGGCGGCAGCGUAGCCUAGUAGUUAGAGUGUAGGGGCGGCAGCGUGGCCUAGUGGAUAGAGUGUAGGGGCGGCAGGUAGCCUAGUGGUUAGAGUGGAGGGGCGGCAGGUAGCCUAGUGGUUAGAGUGGAGGGGCGGCAACGUAGCCUAGUGGUUAGAGUGUAGGGACAGGCAGGUAGCCUAUUGGUUAGAGUGGAGGGGCAGCAGCGUAGCCUAGUGGCUAGAGUGUAGGGGCGGCAGCGUAACCUAGUGGUUAGAGUGUAGGGGCGGCAGGUAGCCUAGUGGUUAGAGUGGAGGGGCGGCAGGUAGCCUAGUGGUUAGAGUGGAGGGGCGGCAGGGUAGCCUAGUGGUUAGAGUGGAGGGGCGGCAACGUAGCCUAGUGGUUAGAGUGUAGGGACAGGCAGGUAGCCUAUUGGUUAGAGUGGAGGGGCAGCAGCGUAGCCUAGUGGCUAGAGUGUAGGGGCGGCAGCGUAACCUAGUGGUUAGAGUGUAGGGGCGGCAGGUAGCCUAGUGGUUAGAGUGGAGGGGCGGCAGGUAGCCUAGUGGUUAGAGUGGAGGGGCGGCAGGGUAGCCUAGUGGUUAGAGUGUAGGGGCGGCAGCGUAGCCUAGUGGUUAGAGUGUAGGGGCGGCAGGUAGCCUAGUGGUUAGAGUGUAGGGGCGGCAGCGUAGCCUAGUGGUUAGAAUGUAGGGGCGGCAGGGUAGCCUAGUGGUUAGAGUGUAGGGGCGGCAA